rnacentral:rRNA from 1 species
AAAUUGAAGAGUUUGAUCAUGGCUCAGAUUGAACGCUGGCGGCAGGCCUAACACAUGCAAGUCGAACGGUAACAGGAAGCAGCUUGCUGCUUYGCUGACGAGUGGCGGACGGGUGAGUAAUGUCUGGGAAAC